CCCUUAGAUGUUCUGGGCCGCACACGCGCUACACUGAAGGAGGCAGCGUGUACUCCUGGAUCGAAAGAUUUGGGUAACCCGCGAAUCUCCUUCGUGCUAGGGAUUGAGGUUUGCAAUUAUCCUUCAUGAACGAGGAAUUCCCAGUAAGUGCAAGUCAUAAGCUUGCGCUGACUACGUCCUGCCCUUUGUACACACCGCCCGUCGCUACUACCGAUUGAAUGAUUUAGUGAGGACUUCGGACUGGGACCGAUGCGGCUUUCGGGCUGCGUCGGUAUUCUGGAAAGAUGUCCAAACUGUAUCAUUUAGAGGAAGUAAAAGUCGUAACA
rnacentral:rRNA from 1 species